rnacentral:rRNA from 1 species
GGGUUGUGAGGUUAAGCGACUAAGCGUACACGGUGGAUGCCCUGGCAGUCAGAGGCGAUGAAGGACGUGCUAAUCUGCGAAAAGCGUCGGUAAGGUGAUAUGAACCGUUAUAACCGGCGAUGUCCGAAUGGGGAAACCCAGUGCAAUUCGUUGCACUAUCGUUAACUGAAUACAUAGGUUAACGAGGCGAACCGGGGGAACUGAAACAUCUAAGUACCCCGAGGAAAAGAAAUCAACCGAGAUUCCCCCAGUAGCGGCGAGCGAACGGGGAGCAGCCCAGAGUCUGAAUCAGCUUGUGUGUUAGUGGAACGGUCUGGAAAGUCCGACGGUACAGGGUGAUAGUCCCGUACACCAAAAUGCACAGGCUGUGAACUCGAAGAGUAGGGCGGGACACGUGGUAUCCUGUCUGAAUAUGGGGGGACCAUCCUCCAAGGCUAAAUACUCCUGACUGACCGAUAGUGAACCAGUACCGUGAGGGAAAGGCGAAAAGAACCCCGGCGAGGGGAGUGAAAAAGAACCUGAAACCGUGUACGUACAAGCAGUGGGAGCACCUUCGGGUGUGACUGCGUACCUUUUGUAUAAUGGGUCAGCGACUUAUAUUCUGUAGCAAGGUUAACCGUAUAGGGGAGCCGCAGGGAAACCGAGUCUUAACUGGGCGUUAAGUUGCAGGGUAUAGACCCGAAACCCGGUGAUCUAGCCAUGGGCAGGUUGAAGGUUGGGUAACACUAACUGGAGGACCGAACCGACUAAUGUUGAAAAAUUAGCGGAUGACUUGUGGCUGGGGGUGAAAGGCCAAUCAAACCGGGAGAUAGCUGGUUCUCCCCGAAAGCUAUUUAGGUAGCGCCUCGUGAACUCAUCUUCGGGGGUAGAGCACUGUUUCGGCUAGGGGGUCAUCCCGACUUACCAACCCGAUGCAAACUACGAAUACCGAAGAAUGUUAUCACGGGAGACACACGGCGGGUGCUAACGUCCGUCGUGAAGAGGGAAACAACCCAGACCGCCAGCUAAGGUCCCAAAGUCAUGGUUAAGUGGGAAACGAUGUGGGAAGGCACAGACAGCCAGGAUGUUGGCUUAGAAGCAGCCAUCAUUUAAAGAAAGCGUAAUAGCUCACUGGUCGAGUCGGCCUGCGCGGAAGAUGUAACGGGGCUAAACCAUGCACCGAAGCUGCGGCAGCGACACUAUGUGUUGUUGGGUAGGGGAGCGUUCUGUAAGCCUGCGAAGGUGUGCUGUGAGGCAUGCUGGAGGUAUCAGAAGUGCGAAUGCUGACAUAAGUAACGAUAAAGCGGGUGAAAAGCCCGCUCGCCGGAAGACCAAGGGUUCCUGUCCAACGUUAAUCGGGGCAGGGUGAGUCGACCCCUAAGGCGAGGCCGAAAGGCGUAGUCGAUGGGAAACAGGUUAAUAUUCCUGUACUUGGUGUUACUGCGAAGGGGGGACGGAGAAGGCUAUGUUAGCCGGGCGACGGUUGUCCCGGUUUAAGCAUGUAGGCUGGUUAUCCAGGCAAAUCCGGAUAAUCAAGGCUGAGGUGUGAUGACGAGGCACUACGGUGCUGAAGUAACAAAUGCCCUGCUUCCAGGAAAAGCCUCUAAGCAUCAGGUAACAUCAAAUCGUACCCCAAACCGACACAGGUGGUCAGGUAGAGAAUACCAAGGCGCUUGAGAGAACUCGGGUGAAGGAACUAGGCAAAAUGGUGCCGUAACUUCGGGAGAAGGCACGCUGGUGUGUAGGUGAAGUCCCUGCGGAUGGAGCUGAGACCAGUCGAAGAUACCAGCUGGCUGCAACUGUUUAUUAAAAACACAGCACUGUGCAAACACGAAAGUGGACGUAUACGGUGUGACGCCUGCCCGGUGCCGGAAGGUUAAUUGAUGGGGUUAUCCGUAAGGAGAAGCUCUUGAUCGAAGCCCCGGUAAACGGCGGCCGUAACUAUAACGGUCCUAAGGUAGCGAAAUUCCUUGUCGGGUAAGUUCCGACCUGCACGAAUGGCGUAAUGAUGGCCAGGCUGUCUCCACCCGAGACUCAGUGAAAUUGAACUCGCUGUGAAGAUGCAGUGUACCCGCGGCAAGACGGAAAGACCCCGUGAACCUUUACUAUAGCUUGACACUGAACAUUGAGCCUUGAUGUGUAGGAUAGGUGGGAGGCUUUGAAGCGUGGACGCCAGUCUGCGUGGAGCCAACCUUGAAAUACCACCCUUUAAUGUUUGAUGUUCUAACGUUGGCCCCUGACCGGGGUUGCGGACAGUGUCUGGUGGGUAGUUUGACUGGGGCGGUCUCCUCCCAAAGCGUAACGGAGGAGCACGAAGGUUAGCUAAUCCUGGUCGGACAUCAGGAGGUUAGUGCAAUGGCAUAAGCUAGCUUGACUGCGAGCGUGACGGCGCGAGCAGGUGCGAAAGCAGGUCAUAGUGAUCCGGUGGUUCUGAAUGGAAGGGCCAUCGCUCAACGGAUAAAAGGUACUCCGGGGAUAACAGGCUGAUACCGCCCAAGAGUUCAUAUCGACGGCGGUGUUUGGCACCUCGAUGUCGGCUCAUCACAUCCUGGGGCUGAAGUAGGUCCCAAGGGUAUGGCUGUUCGCCAUUUAAAGUGGUACGCGAGCUGGGUUUAGAACGUCGUGAGACAGUUCGGUCCCUAUCUGCCGUGGGCGCUGGAGAAUUGAGGGGGGCUGCUCCUAGUACGAGAGGACCGGAGUGGACGCAUCACUGGUGUUCGGGUUGUCAUGCCAAUGGCACUGCCCGGUAGCUAAAUGCGGAAGAGAUAAG